GUCCAACUUAACUUGGAGUCCGAACUCUCACUUUCUAACCCUGUGCACUUGUUUGGGAUAGUAACUCUCGCAAGAGAGCGAACUCCUAUUCACUUAUAAACACAAAGUCUAUGAAUGUAUUAAAUUUUAUAACAAAAUAAAACUUUCAACAACGGAUCUCUUGGCUCUCGCAUCGAUGAAGAACGCAGCGAAAUGCGAUAAGUAAUGUGAAUUGCAGAAUUCAGUGAAUCAUCGAAUCUUUGAACGCACCUUGCGCUCCAUGGUAUUCCGUGGAGCAUGCCUGUUUGAGUGUCAUGAAUACUUCAACCCUCCUCUUUCUUAAUGAUUGAAGAGGUGUUUGGUUUCUGAGCGCUGCUGGCCUUUACGGUCUAGCUCGUUCGUAAUGCAUUAGCAUCCGCAAUCGAACUUCGGAUUGACUUGGCGUAAUAGACUAUUCGCUGAGGAAUUCUAGUCUUCGGAUUAGAGCCGGGUUGGGUUAAAGGAAGCUUCUAAUCAGAAUGUCUACAUUUUAAGAUUAGAUCUCAAAUCAGGUAGGACUACCCGCUGAACUUAAGCAUAUCAAUAAGCGGAGGAAAAGAAACUAACAAGGAUUCCCCUAGUAGCGGCGAGCGAAGCGGGAAGAGCUCAAAUUUAUAAUCUGGCACCUUCGGUGUCCGAGUUGUAAUCUCUAGAAAUGUUUUCCGCGUUGGACCGCACACAAGUCUGUUGGAAUACAGCGGCAUAGUGGUGAGACCCCCGUAUAUGGUGCGGAC
rnacentral:rRNA from 1 species